AGAUAUUAUUUUGCAUUACAUUUAAACAUGUUUUUCUGUCCUGUUUGUCUGUCAAUUGUUGCUUUACUUCCUUUGUAAAAUGAGGUUAAAUUGAGUAUCACUGAAUAUUGUAUGAUUUUUUUUCAGGAUCAGCUGAGAUGUUGUUUCACUGGAUUAUUUAAUUGGGCAUAUAAUUGGAUAAUUCUGGAUCAGCUGAGAUGUUAUUUCACUGGAUUAUUUAAUGGAUAGACUUAUUGGGCAUAUAGUUGGAUAUCUCUGUUCUCAACCUGGAAGAUAUGUUUUGUUCCUAACCAUCUAUAAUCCAUUCUCUAUGAUGUGAAGCCUGGCUGCUGGUCUUCCUUUGGAAAUACACAGUUUGUCAAUCAACAUAGAAACACACAAACUUGAAGGUAAAGUUUCAAUGAGAUACAAUUGUAACUUUUAUUUAUUUAUUUAUUUUUUUUGUUACAUAUGCAUGUUUAUAUUUUGGAAUUGAUAAGUAAAUGAUAUAUGAUUUUUUAAAUAAACAGGGCUUGGUGGUCAUGGUCAUGUUUAAACUAUAUUAAUCUCCUUUAGAAGAAGAAGAAGAGCUCCAUUUCAAGAGAUAUACAAAAAUGCAUGAUCAAUUUUUUAAACUAAAAUGUAUGAAAUUCUUCUUUGCCAAAUGAUA